rnacentral:rRNA from 1 species
AGAGGGUGCAAGCGUUAAUCGGAAUUACUGGGCGUAAAGCGCGCGUAGGUGGUUAUUUAAGUCCGUUGUGAAAGCCCUGGGCUCAACCUGGGAACUGCAGUGGAUACUGGAUGACUAGAAUGUGGUAGAGGGUAGCGGAAUUCCUGGUGUAGCAGUGGAAUGCGUAGAGAUCAGGAGGAACAUCCAUGGCGAAGGCAGCUACCUGGACCAACAUUGACACUGAGGCACGANAGCGUGGGGAGCANACAGGAUUAGAUACCCUGGUAGUCCACGCCCUANACGAUGCGNACUGGAUGUUGAGUGCNAUUUGGCGCGCAGUAUCGAAGCUAACGCGUUNNGUUCGCCGCCUGGGGAGU